UAAGAGUAAAGAGAGAAAGAGAAGAAAAAGAAGAGAGAGAAAGAAAAGAAAAAGAAGAGAGAGAAAGAGAGAACGGUGAGUAAUCCAUGAGAAAAGUGAGGGAUUUUAAGAGAAUUUGGGAGUCUUUCCUUAAGGAAACUCUACCUAAAUUGUAAGAGAAAGAGAGACGAAGGAAGAGGGAAGAAAGGAAACUAAAGAAAAAAAGAAAAUGGGAUCCUCACAGUCAAUAAAGAAAGAACCCAUGGACUUAAGAAAGUACUCAAAAACAUCAUAAGAAUCUGCCAAAUAUUUAGUGAAAAAGCUUAGAAAUUAAAUUAG
rnacentral:lncRNA from 1 species